rnacentral:lncRNA from 1 species
UGUGACUUAAUUAGAGCCAAUUAGAGACACAAUGAGACUUUUGCAGGGAAUUCUGGGAAGGAGACUCUCACUAGAUCCUUGCUUGACUUGAGAGGUAUGAGGUUGGAACGGCUGUAGCCAUCUCCAUCUAUUGAGGGAACACGGGUUUGAGAACACAGUCAAGUCAGGACGAGAACAAGAGACGCUGGAUCUUGAGGACAGUGCUUGAGCCCUCGAAUCAAUCAAUGUCUAAACUAAUGGAGGGUCGAUGAAGACAUUUGGCCAGAGGACCCUGAAACACCUGAAUCCCACCUUUGGCUGGCUAGCCCCAUUUCUCAGCAGUGCCUUCACAGGAGCGGCCUGGAGGUUGACAGAACAAGAUGGAAGCCCUUCAAGAAAAUUGUCAAUAAAGAAAGACUGAAAAUGGGCAUAGCUUUCCUGAGCUGAACACCUCCCCAUCUGUGA